rnacentral:rRNA from 1 species
GAAAGAAAUAGAAGUCCAGGGCCGAAUGGGUUUGCUGUUCAAUUUUAUCAAAAAAAUUGGAAGAUGGUCAAAAAUGACUUGGAAAAAAUAUUGGAUGAUUUCCAUAGUGGAAAAAUUGACCUAGCUAGGCUUAACUAUGGAAUUAUUACCCUGAUCACUAAGGUGAAAGAUGCUAAACAGAUUUAAAAAUUUAGACCCAUCUGUCUGCUGAAUGUUAGUUUUAAAAUCAUUACUAAAGUCUUGAUGAAUAGACUUAGUAAAGUGGUAAAUCCCAUAAUCUCUCCUAUCAAAACGGCUUUUGUCAAGGGUAGGCAUAUUAUAGAGGGAGUGUUUAUCUUACAUGAAGCCUUAAAUUCUAUACAUACUAAAAAGCAAAAUGCUAUGCUAUCCAAGGAUGACUUUGAAAAAGCAUACGAUAAGAUUAAGUGGCCUUUUGUCCACAAAAUGCUGAGACUAAAACACUUCCCCGACAAAUGGUGUGAUUGGGUGAUGCACACCAUGCGAGGGGUUCAGGUGGGGGUGAAAGUUAAUGAUAGUGUGGGACAUUUCUUCAAAACUUUCAAAGGACUCAGGCAGGGGGAUUCUCUCUCUCCUCUACUAUUUGAUCUAGAAGUAGAUGCCCUCGCCAUGAUUAUGGAUAAGGCUAGGAUUGAAGGGUAUAUUAAAGGGGUCCUCACUGAGGUUCAUGAUAAUGGAGUGAAUAUGUUAUAA